rnacentral:rRNA from 1 species
GAGCGCGCCCUUCGGGGUGAGCGGCGGACGGGUUAGUAACGCGUGGGAACGUGCCCAGAUCUAAGGAAUAGCCACUGGAAACGGUGAGUAAUACCUUAUACGCCCUUCGGGGGAAAGAUUUAUCGGAUUUGGAUCGGCCCGCGUUAGAUUAGGUAGUUGGUGGGGUAAUGGCCUACCAAGCCUACGAUCUAUAGCUGGUUUUAGAGGAUGAUCAGCAACACUGGGACUGAGACACGGCCCAGACUCCUACGGGAGGCAGCAGUGGGGAAUCUUGGACAAUGGGGGCAACCCUGAUCCAGCCAUGCCGCGUGAGUGAUGAAGGCCUUAGGGUCGUAAAGCUCUUUCGCCUGUGAUGAUAAUGACAGUAGCAGGUAAAGAAACCCCGGCUAACUCCGUGCCAGCAGCCGCGGUAAUACGGAGGGGGUUAGCGUUGUUCGGAAUUACUGGGCGUAAAGCGCGCGUAGGCGGAUUAGUCAGUUAGAGGUGAAAUCCCAGGGCUCAACCCUGGAACUGCCUUUAAUACUGCUAGUCUUGAGUUCGAGAGAGGUGAGUGGAAUUCCGAGUGUAGAGGUGAAAUUCGUAGAUAUUCGGAGGAACACCAGUGGCGAAGGCGGCUCACUGGCUCGAUAC